GUGCUCAUUUUGGCAGCACAUAUACUAAAACUGGAACAAUAUAAAGCAGCUCAGCCCAGCCCCUGCACAAGGAUGACACGUCAAAUCAUGAAGCGUUCCAUAUUUUU